CUUUUCUGUCAUAUAUCCUCCUUUUAUUAGAGAGAGGCAGAAAUGAUUCUGUGCCUAAACUUCUUAUUCUUCCUUAUACUCCUUGGAGGUGUCCGAUCCGAGGUCCAGUUGGUGGAGUCUGGAGGGGAUGUGAGAAGACCUGGAGAGUCCCUCCGUCUCUCCUGCCAAGCCUCUGGAUUCACCUUCAGCAACUAUUACAUGGACUGGAUGAGACAGGCUCCUGGGAAAGGACUGGAAUGGGUAGCCUACAUAUAUACAGGUUCAUCAUACAUUUACUACUCAGAGAAAGUCAAGGGCCGCUUCACCAUCUCCAGGGACGAUGCCAAAAGCCAGCUGUAUCUCCAAAUGAACAAUCUCAAACCAGAAGACACAGCUGUCUAUUACUGUGCAGGAGAGACACAGUGA